rnacentral:rRNA from 1 species
CAAAGAAUUUUGGGCAAUGGGCGAAAGCCUGACCCAGCGACACCGCGUGGGGGAUGAAGGCCCUAGGGUCGUAAACCCCUUUUUCGAGGGAAGAGAAAGGACGGUACCUCGAGAAUAAGCCCCGGCUAACUACGUGCCAGCAGCCGCGGUAACACGUAGGGGGCAAGCGUUACCCGGAUUUACUGGGCGUAAAGAGCGCGUAGGCGGCUGAGUAAGUCUCCUGUGAAAUCUUCCGGCUCAACUGGAAGAGGUCAGGGGAUACUGCUCGGCUUGAGGGCGGAAGAGGAAGACGGAAUUCCCGGUGUAGCGGUGAUAUGCGUAGAUAUCGGGAGGAACACCAGAGGCGAAGGCGGUCUUCUGGGCCGUGCCUGACGCUGAGGCGCGAAAGCGUGGGUAGCAAACCGG